rnacentral:rRNA from 1 species
CGCGAAGGGGCUUCGGCCCUGAGUAGAGUGGCAAACGGGUGAGUAACGCGUGGGUGACCUACCUUCGAGUGGGGGAUAACGUUCCGAAAGGAGCGCUAAUACCGCAUGAAGUUCCGGGUUUGAACAUCUGGAAACCAAAGCCGGGGAUCGCAAGACCUGGCGCUUGGAGAGGGGCCCGCGUCUGAUUAGCUAGUUGGCGGGGUAAUGGCCCACCAAGGCGACGAUCAGUAGCCGGCCUGAGAGGGCGGACGGCCACACUGGGACUGAGACACGGCCCAGACUCCUACGGGAGGCAGCAGUGGGGAAUUGUUCGCAAUGGGCGCAAGCCUGACGACGCAACGCCGCGUGGGGGAUGAAGGUCUUCGGAUUGUAAACCCCUGUCGAGCGGGACGAAUGGCCCGCGACCUAACACGUCGUGGGAAUGACGGUACCGCUAAAGGAAGCCACGGCUAACUCUGUGCCAGCAGCCGCGGUAAUACAGAGGUGGCAAGCGUUGUUCGGAAUUACUGGGCGUAAAGGGCGCGUAGGCGGCCUUCUAAGUCAGACGUGAAAUCCCCCGGCUUAACCUGGGAACUGCGUCUGAUACUGGAGGGCUUGAGUGCGGGAGAGGGAUGUGGAAUUCCAGGUGUAGCGGUGAAAUGCGUAGAUAUCUGGAGGAACACCGGUGGCGAAGGCGGCAUCCUGGACCGACACUGACGCUGAGGCGCGAAAGCUAGGGUAGCAAACGGGAUUAGAUACCCCGGUAGUCCUAGCCCUAAACGAUGAGUGCUUGGUGUGGCGGGUAUCGAUCCCUGCCGUGCCGAAGCUAACGCAUUAAGCACUCCGCCUGGGGAGUACGGUCGCAAGGCUGAAACUCAA